rnacentral:rRNA from 1 species
GACAGAGGGUGCGAGCGUUAAUCGGAAUUACUGGGCGUAAAGCGCGCGUAGGCGGCUUUGCAAGUCGGGCGUGAAAUCCCCAGGCUUAACCUGGGAACUGCAUUCGAGACUGCAUUGCUAGAGUAUGGGAGAGGGAAGUGGAAUUUCCGGUGUAGCGGUGAAAUGCGUAGAUAUCGGAAGGAACAUCAGUGGCGAAAGCGACUUCCUGGACCAAUACUGACGCUCAUGUGCGAAAGCGUGGGGAGCAAACAGG